UUUAUUUGGCACAACGAAAAAUAUUGUUGGUAGGACUUCAGAAAAGAUUUUGGUACACGGAACAUGCUAUUGGUAUGAUGAAUUUGUUUGCAGUGAAUUGUUGAAAUUGUUCAUAUAAUAUUCACUUACCCAAUCAACUAUUUAACUUGCACAGAUCUGUAUAGACUUGCUUCUUACACCAUUCUUUAAUACUCAAAAACAAAGAUAUCCUCAUCAUACACCUUAAUACCUUAUAGAUUAUCAUACAUCUAAGUUAGAAAAUCCUUUAUUGAACUUCUUAAUUAGUAGAGAACAUUUUACGUUAUACUAUACAAAUUCCUGAUGUAGAACUGUUAAGCGACAUGGACAAUUUGAAGGUACUACAAACUAAUAAAUUUCUGGGUAUUUAAUUAAGAUAUAUGGCACCAGGGAGUAUGCGUAGUACUAUGUAGCCACAUUGUGAAUAUACUGAUGAUUCAUUCAAGUGUAAUUAGGUGCGGAUUAGUAACAAAUUUGAGAGAGAUGGAUAGAAGUUGACAAGGUUCUGCAUCUUCUUGUACACUAGUAUUAAAUAUUGGUAGUAUUUUUUUUUAAUUGGAAAAUAAAAUAUUGGUAGUAUUAUUGCGGACUUUGCUGUACGUAAGGAUAUGACACCAUGGCCUUAAUGAAUCCUGGAUCAUAUUCCCAUACUUAUCACCCAAAGCUUUGAUUUUGCAGGAAGCUGGUUACCAUGGUCGUCAUCUCGGUCAUCUCCUCGUCCUGCUGCCAACAAGCCAAAGAAGAGCCCACAAUUUUGGCUGCACACCCGAAUUAUAAGUAUUUUGACAACUUAGAAUAUUGAUUUCCAUAUGUUGCAGUUUCUCCUGCUCCUCCUCCAGCCCCUGUACAGAGUCAACCUGCGGCAGGAGGUCUUGGCUCUUCGUUUGCUGAUGGAAUGGCCUUUUGUAGUGGAAAUGCAGUCGGUCAUAGGGCAGUGGAUGCCGUGUUAGGCCCGCGUGUGAUUAGAUUUGACGUUACUGAUCCUGCCUCCUCAGCUGUUGCGACUUCAAAUAGCAUUGAUGUGGGUGCAUGUGGUGCCCCAAUGAAAGCUUUCCAAGAGGUGCUGGUUGCACGCUGAUUUUGUCUACGAAUGAUUUUACAAUUGUUGGGAUUGCUGUAGAACUACUGUUAAUAAGGGAUCAUUCGGAUGCAAUUUGGGACGAAAGAGCGCGAAUUGGAGCGAAAUCGGGACAAAAACGCAAAAAGUGAGAUUUGAGGGCCUGGCUGUGGCGCAAUUUACAGCAGCCAAAAUAUUUGAGCGCCAGGGCCAGCGCCCCACGCUGCCCUGGACGCUCACGACGGGAAAGUGUCCUUUUUCGACUAUGACUCGGUUAUUUCGACCCCUAGACGCCCCCAACUCAUAUAAAAGCCAAC